rnacentral:ncRNA from 1 species
AUUGAUCUGCCACCGGGUAGAAAUGCGAAAAGCAUUCGUUAACACAUCGUUAGGUCUUUGAAGAUGUGUUUGCGGAUGCUUAUUUUUU